rnacentral:ncRNA from 1 species
GCUCGCCUGUUAGCAAAAUAGCAGCUUUCAGCCGUAAGGCUGAUUGAAAAAUCGGGAGAAUUGCGUGAAACCUAAGGUAUCGUAAGAUGCUAUGGCAACCCGCAGCCGAGCUCCGAUGUCAACUAAAGUUUCAUCGGAGAAGGUUCAGAGACUAGGUGAUUACACCCUAGAGCACCCGAGUUCCGAUUUAUCGGAAUAUGAUAUAGUCCAAGCCUGAUUGAAAUUUCAGG